rnacentral:rRNA from 1 species
GAGUUUGAUCAUGGCUCAGAUUGAACGCUGGCGGCAUGCCUUACACAUGCAAGUCGAACGGCAGCACGGGUGCUUGCACCUGGUGGCGAGUGGCGAACGGGUGAGUAAUACAUCGGAACAUGUCCUGUAGUGGGGGAUAGCCCGGCGAAAGCCGGAUUAAUACCGCAUACGAUCUGAGGAUGAAAGCGGGGGACCUUCGGGCCUCGCGCUAUAGGGUUGGCCGAUGGCUGAUUAGCUAGUUGGUGGGGUAAAGGCCUACCAAGGCGACGAUCAGUAGCUGGUCUGAGAGGACGACCAGCCACACUGGGACUGAGACACGGCCCAGACUCCUACGGGAGGCAGCAGUGGGGAAUUUUGGACAAUGGGCGAAAGCCUGAUCCAGCAAUGCCGCGUGUGUGAAGAAGGCCUUCGGGUUGUAAAGCACUUUUGUCCGGAAAGAAAUCCUUGGUUCUAAUAUAGCCGGGGGAUGACGGUACCGGAAGAAUAAGCACCGGCUAACUACGUGCCAGCAGCCGCGGUAAUACGUAGGGUGCAAGCGUUAAUCGGAAUUACUGGGCGUAAAGCGUGCGCAGGCGGUUUGCUAAGACCGAUGUGAAAUCCCCGGGCUCAACCUGGGAACUGCAUUGGUGACUGGCAGGCUAGAGUAUGGCAGAGGGGGGUAGAAUUCCACGUGUAGCAGUGAAAUGCGUAGAGAUGUGGAG